CCCUUAGAUGUUCUGGGCCGCACGCGUGCUACACUGACCGGCGCAACAAGUUUCUUUCCUUGGCUCGAUAGGCCUGGGUAAUCUUUGAACGCUGUUCGUGAUUGGGAUAGACCUUUGCAAUUAUGGGUCUUCAACGAGGAAUUCCUAGUAAACGCAAGUCAUCAGCUUGCAUUGAUUACGUCCCUGCCCUUUGUACACACCGCCCGUCGCACCUACCGAUUGAAUGGUCCGGUGAAAUCUCGGGACGGCGGCUUGGUCGCUUGCGUCCGACUGCUGAAACUUGAUUAAACCAUAUCAUUUAGAGGAAGGUGAAGUCGUAACA
rnacentral:rRNA from 1 species